GUUUAUGAAUAAACUUCACUUUGUGGUUGUGUCCACGUGGAGAGACGAUCAAGUGCAAACCAGUCUCGCCGUGCCCUUCUUGACGUUCCCUUGUAUAAUACGUAGGAUUAUAACGAAAACUAGCAGGAAAUUGCACGCGCAAUCAUGUCACAUGCUGACAAACCAUGAGGCCCAGGAGAAAAUGCAUAUAAGUCAUGUUAGAUUGAUCCAUGUGAAAUCCAGUAAAAGGCUACGUUAACAUGGACAGGAUACAUGAAACUUGGUAUGCAGCUAUUAAAAUAACUUAAUCUUUUUGUGGAAAGUAAUUCAGAAAAUGUGUGUUUGGCCAUUCUUUUUACAUGGCUAAUGUUGUGGGGGGAUUAAAUAGGAACUUGUUAAAAACGCAGAAGAGUUUGAACGUUUUUAAAUGUCAAGAAAACUAAUAUUUCAUAUAAAUGUUCAUUUUAUCAUGCCUUUUAGUGUUGCCUGUUCAUCAUUGCUUGUCAGAUGAAUGUGGUGUCAAAUAGGGCAUACAUUAAUACAUGACAUGGCCACUGAAAGGUAUCUCCAUCCUUGCCUUUCAGAGGCUUCAUGUAAUGGACACUUUACAUUUUCAUACAUUGAUGAAGUAUACAAGUUUCUGCAUUAAUAAAUAAAAAAAAUUAAUGCUGAUCUCAUUUCAUUCCAUUCAAGAUUCACAAAGGAUCGAGUUCUUCCUAUUUGAGGUAAAUGAAUCCUCAUUAAAGGACUUGUGUUGUGUGAGGUGAGUUCUGCUAACCUGGAAUCAAAAUCAAUUGAUAUUAUUCACUUUUCCAAUUUGCAGUUAUUUGUUUUGUAAAGAUUUGUGGGGUAAAACUGAAUUCAGCAAGGAUUGACUGUUUUUGUUAUUAUGGAAUUAUUUAUAUAAUGUUUUACAAAGUAUAUUAAGUGUGUAUGUUUAUGUUGUGUUUUAGUGUCUUUUUUUCUACCUCAGCCCAGAUGUUGUUUCUGUAUAUGUGCAACAUUAAUAAAUAAAACCUUCUGUUUAACAUUG